rnacentral:rRNA from 1 species
CUGGCGGCGUGCUUAACACAUGCAAGUCGAACGCGAAAGGGACUUCGGUCCUGAGUAAAGUGGCGCACGGGUGAGUAACGCGUAGAUAACCUGUCUUCAUGUCUGGAAUGAUACGCCGAAAGGGGUACUAAUACCGGAUAUUCUUGCUUUUCAUAAGUUAUGCAAGCAAAGGUGGCCUCUGCAUAUGCUACUGCAUGAAGAGGGGUCUGCGUACCAUUAGCUAGUAGGUGGGGUAAUGGCCUACCUAGGCGACGAUGGUUAGCGGGUCUGAGAGGAUGAUCCGCCACACUGGCACUGGAACACGGGCCAGACUCCUACGGGAGGCAGCAGUGAGGAAUAUUGCGCAAUGGGGGAAACCCUGACGCAGCGACGCCGCGUGAGUGAAGGAAGGCCUUCGGGUCGUAAAGCUCUGUCAAGAGGAAAGAAGUGUACAAUGGCUAAUACCUGUUGUAUUUGACGGUACCUCUAAAGGAAGCACCGGCUAACUCCGUGCCAGCAGCCGC